UACGGGGGAUGCAAGCGUUAUCCGGAUUUAUUGGGUUUAAAGGGUGCGUAGGCUGUGAGGUAAGUCAGCGGUGAAAUGCCCCCGCUCAACGGGGUGAAGUGCCAUUGAUACUGCCUUGCUGGAGUGCGGAUGCCGUGGGAGGAAUGUGUGGUGUAGCGGUGAAAUGCAUAGAUAUCACACAGAACACCGAUUGCGAAGGCAUCUCACGAAUCCGCGAUUGACGCUGAUGCACGAAAGCGUGGGUAUCAAACAGG
rnacentral:rRNA from 1 species